AUUGAUUUUUUAUAUGAACUAAGAUUAUGUUCUAUAUCUGUUCUUUGCGUUGUAAUUUCUGCAACAAUCUGCAAAUUGAGACCAAUGAAAUUACCUGUAUUUUUAUCUGCCAGAUGGGUGUUGUGAGCUUGCUCAACCCCGUUUACCGGUCGGACUCGGAUUGCAUUACUUUGAGGAUCGGUGAUCAAGU
rnacentral:snRNA from 1 species